rnacentral:lncRNA from 1 species
CCAUAGCUCGAUCAGUACCUAGGAUGUAAAAGUCGAGGUCGAGAUACAGAUCCACAAUAGAUGCCCCCCACUCCCGAGGUCGAGCUAUCCAUAGAUCAAUCGAAAAGAGUAUGAGUCCGAGGUCGAGGCUGGUCUAAUCUUGUCGAGUUGUCCUCCGUUGACACGUAUCGAAAAUUGGCUUCCUAAAGCAAACCGUCUUCACAUCUGGACCAUUGAUUCCUCGAAUCCAUGGGGGCCACAUCUUAACCAAUCAGAGGCUGCCAUUUGUCGAGCAUCAGUCGAGGGACAUAAAUCGAUGGUAGAUCGAGACCGUCCUGACCUUUUAUAAAUAGAACCACGGUAACUUCAUUUUUACUACUACUAUUCAGAGGGGGAACUCUGUCACUUUGCAUUUCUUGAAGAUUUUGCUUAGUCGAGGCCGAUCUAGAGCCUAUAUCAAAAUAGCUAAAUUGUCGGGCCAAUCAAUUCAUGACAAACGUCGAGGAUCUGUGCCACUGAUGUCUCAAGCAAUUGAUCUGAAUCAUCAAACCUGAGUUUCCAUGUUGAGCCGACGAUGGUCAAUCAUGAGCUGCCACAUGCGUUCAUCCACAAUGGCAAUCUGAUUCGUCAUGAGAUCGAAUUCGUCCUAUUUGUUAUAAACAGCCAAUUGCUGUUGCUAGGGCCUCCAUCACUUUGUCACUUUCCUCUUUUCGAGCUCGAAAAAUGAUUUUUGGGUGAUUUUUAAUGAACCUCCGAUGAUCGCUGCUGGUUGAUACAUUCAUCCUCGGUGUAACCGAACUCCAUUAUCCUCUGCUAUAGCCAAACUCCAAUCCCCAAAUUUGAAGUCAUGUCCCUUGGCCAGCUCGAUCGUCGAAUUUUGGUAGACCUCUUUUCUUUUUCUGCUUCACAUAGGAAUAUUCGGAGAUGAGCGCAUCAAGCUCAUCUUC